rnacentral:rRNA from 1 species
UACGAAGGGGGCUAGCGUUGUUCGGAUUUACUGGGCGUAAAGCGCACGUAGGCGGAUUGUUAAGUCAGGGGUGAAAUCCUGGAGCUCAACUCCAGAACUGCCUUUGAUACUGGCAAUCUUGAGUCCGGAAGAGGUGAGUGGAACUCCUAGUGUAGAGGUGGAAUUCGUAGAUAUUAGGAAGAACACCAGUGGCGAAGGCGGCUCACUGGUCCGGUACUGACGCUGAUGUGCGAAAGCGUGGGGAGCAAACAGGG